rnacentral:rRNA from 1 species
CAGUCGAACGGACUCAUAUUGAAACCUAGUGAUUUAUGAGUUAGUGGCGGACGGGUGAGUAACGCGUGGAUAACCUACCGUAUACCGGGGGAUAACACUUAGAAAUAGGUGCUAAUACCGCAUAAGCGCACGGCUCCGCAUGGGGCAGUGUGAAAAACUCCGGUGGUAUACGAUGGAUCCGCGUCUGAUUAGCUAGUUGGCGGGGUAACGGCCCACCAAGGCAGCGAUCAGUAGCCGGCCUGAGAGGGUGGACGGCCACAUUGGGACUGAGACACGGCCCAAACUCCUACGGGAGGCAGCAGUGGGGAAUAUUGCACAAUGGGGGAAACCCUGAUGCAGCGACGCCGCGUGAGUGAAGAAGUAUUUCGGUACGUAAAGCUCUAUCAGCAGGGAAGAAAAUGACGGUACCUGACUAAGAAGCCCCGGCUAACUACGUGCCAGCAGCCGCGGUAAUACGUAGGGGGCAAGCGUUAUCCGGAUUUACUGGGUGUAAAGGGAGCGUAGACGGCAGCACAAGUCUGGAGUGAAAUCCCGGGGCUUAACCCCGGAACUGCUUUGGAAACUGUGCGGCUGGAGUGCAGGAGGGGUAAGCGGAAUUCCUAGUGUAGCGGUGAAAUGCGUAGAUAUUAGGAGGAACACCGGUGGCGAAGGCGGCUUACUGGACUGUAACUGACGUUGAGGCUCGAAAGCGUGUGGAGCAAACAGGAUUAGAUACCCUGGUAGUCCACCCCGUAAACGAUGACUACUAGGUGUC